rnacentral:tRNA from 1 species
GGGUUGUGGCUCAGUGGUAGAGCCCUUGCCUGGCACAUGUGAGGCACUGGGUUUGACCCCCAGCAUCCA